rnacentral:lncRNA from 1 species
GAGCUACUCUUGUCCAUAGAAGGUAAGCUUCAGGAUGACAGGAAUGUUUUUCGGGGGUUUUGUCUCCAUCUUAUUUUGAGAGAGCAUGACACAGUCCCGGCUGGCAUUGAACUCACUGGGGAGCCCAAGAACGACCUUAAGCAUCUGCUCCUUCUGUCUGCGACCUCCCUAGUGCUGGGACAGCAGCUUCUGUGUCACAACACUGUGUGGUGCUGGGGACUGACUCCAGUACCUCACCGAUGGCAGGUAAGCCUUCAACAAUUGACCCACAUUGCCAGGCCUGGUUUUUUGUUUGUUUGUUUGUUUGUUUUUGUUUUUCCAUACAGGUUUUCUCUGUGGUUUUGGAGGCUGUCCCCGAACCAGCCUGUCCUCUGCCUCUGCCUCCUGAGUACUGGGACUAAAGAAAGGCGUGUGCCAUCACCACCCUGCUGGGCCUGGAUUUUGUUUGUUUGUUUUGUUUUGUUUUCCUCAUCAUCUUAUCCUCCGUGCCUAAAGCUCUGGCUGGUUGCAAAAGCUCCAGGCCCAACAAAUUCAUGGACUCUGAGACCUUCAGAAUGCCUGCGGACGUCAAGGACAAACACAUCCAGUUCUUCCCUGUCAGGGAUGGAAACAGAGACCCAAGGGGCCAGGGUUUUAUUCAAGCACACGGGAGGGAGGAGAGGCAGUCAGUUGCCUUUCCUGUCACUGCUCAGCACAACUGCUGACUCUUAGUGUCCUGAAUUUUCUCAGGAGCCCGAAAAGGCUGCCAUGACAAUUUAAAAGCCAUCAGGCUCUUUGUGUUUGGCCAGUGACAGAUGGGCACGUGGCUAUUUGCUCUAGAUAAACUGAGUUGAUCGAGACAUCAAAGACUUCCUACUUGACAAGCUAGUCCAACCAGAUUGUGAUACUCAGGGUUGAUGCGAAUUCAUUUUAAAGGCAAUGAACCAACCCCAUCAGUCUUGGCUAUUUAUAAGGAAAUGGUCCUGUUUGGGAAACCUGCACUUCUGGUUUGGGACCAAGCAUUGCUCAAUACAGACCUUACCACAGGGGGCAAGAACUCAGAAGGUCUUCCACCUGACUUGGGUGACUGGCAAAGCAGGAAAAAAUGGUUCUCUACUCUCCAGUAACAGCUAGAAACAUACCCCAUGCCAAGGCCAUGCCAGGCAAGCCCUAAGGACAUCAUCUGAAUAAUAAUAAAAAAAAACACA